UAGGGAAUCUUCCGCAAUGGGCGAAAGCCUGACGGAGCAACGCCGCGUGAGUGAUGAAGGUCUUCGGAUCGUAAAACUCUGCUUUUAGGGAAGAACAAAUGUGUAAGUAACUAUGCACGUCUUGACGUUACCUAAUCAGAAAUCCACGGCUAACUACGUGCCAGCAGCCGCGGUCUUUCGUAGGUGGCAAGCUUUAUUCGGAAUUAUUUGGCGUAAAGCGCUCGUAGGCGGUUUUUUAAGUCUGAUGUGAAAGCCAACGGCUCAACCGUGGAGGGUCAUUCGAAACUGGAGAACUUGAGUGCAGAAGAUCAAAGUGGAAAUCCAUGUGUAGCGGUGAAAUGCGCAGAGAUGUGGAGGGACACCAGUGGCGAAGGCGACUUUCUGGUCUAUAACUGACGCUAAUGUGCGAAAGCGUGGUGAUCAAACAGG
rnacentral:rRNA from 1 species